UUGUCCCCUGGCGUCCCGCUCGCUGUGGGGGCGCCGCGCUAAAAUGGCGGAGGGGGGUGUAGCGGGCGGAGAGUCUCUCAGGUCGCCGUGCCCUCAUGCCCCACGGGCACUCGGAGGCAGCGUGUGGGGUCUGCGGGACACGCACCGCCCUCCCAGCGCCCCGGCAGGCGUCAGCCCGCCCCUCAGCGACCUCCUCCUGAGAAACAGUGGAAGUUGGAUGCAACUGCUGGAGUUAAGUGUUUCACGGCUAAGCAAGUACAAAGGCGAUAAGGAACAGCCUGGUUUAAAGAGUACAACACAAAGCUUUGAGGAAUAUGACCAUUAAUUAAGAUGGAAGCAAUAAAAGAGCUAUAACGACU